rnacentral:rRNA from 1 species
UUACCCGCUGAAUUUAAGCAUAUCACUAAGCGGAGUGCGAAGACUACAGGAUGCCCCUAGUAAUGGCGAAUGAAGCGGGCAGAGCUCACGCCGCCAAUCUGGAGGUCGCCUCAGCAUGACCCCCCGAAUUGUAGUCUAGAAAGUCGCCAUCGGCCGCGUCCGCCGCUCAAAUCCCUUGGAACGGGGUAUCGGAGAAGGUGAGAAUCCUGUGCCGUGGCGGUUCGCGGUCGCACGAUGCGAUCUUGCCGAGUCGGGUUGCUUGGGAUUGCAGCUUGAAGUGGGUGGUAAAUUCCAUCUAAAGCUAAAUACUGGCGAGAGACCGAUAGCGAACAAGUACCGUGAGGGAAAGAUGCAAAGAACUUUGAAAAGAGAGUUAAUCUUCGCGCGGUGCACUUUGUCGGCGCGGGUCACCCCGGGCUGUUCGGGCGGGAUCAUGCCCGCAGGCAGGGCUUCGGCGAGCCUGCGGGACGCGCCGCGCGGGCGGCUCUGUGUCGAUCGGAACGGGCGCAACCGACCCGUCUUGAAACACGGACCAAGGAA